UCAGUCGACUCCUACGGGGAGGCAGCAGUGGGGAAUAUUGCACAAUGGGCGCAAGCCUGAUGCAGCCAUGCCGCGUGUGUGAAGAAGGCCUUCGGGUUGUAAAGCACUUUCAGUCGUGAGGAAGGUAGUGUAGUUAAUAGCUGCAUUAUUUGACGUUAGCGACAGAAGAAGCACCGGCUAACUCCGUGCCAGCAGCCGCGGUAAUACGGAGGGUGCGAGCGUUAAUCGGAAUUACUGGGCGUAAAGCGCAUGCAGGUGGUUUGUUAAGUCAGAUGUGAAAGCCCGGGGCUCAACCUCGGAAUAGCAUUUGAAACUGGCAGACUAGAGUACUGUAGAGGGGGGUAGGAAUUUCAGGUGUAGCGGUGAAAUGCGUAGAGAUCUGAAGGAAUACCGGUGGCGAAGGCGGCCCCCUGGACAGAUACUGACACUCAGAUGCGAAAGCGUGGGGAGCAAACAGGAUUAGAUACCCUGGUAG
rnacentral:rRNA from 1 species